CUUUCCCACAUGAAGCCUCAGUCACAGGUGGAAGGGGGCAGGGUGAGAAAUGCUGACAUUAUCCUCUCAGGAAGAAAUCCCUCCUCCUGGGACCCAGGGAGAAAGGGAGCCCUGUGCUCUCAGCUCCAGCAGUCUGGAGUUGUCUCUCCUUGGCUGAGCUGACAGUGGCCAGAGAAGGAAUAGUCUUGCUUAAACACCAUGGACUCUCCUUUCUUACCAAAUUUUGAUAGAUUUCUUGAAUAGAUCUUUCUUCAUUGGCUGUUGCUUUUAGAACAAGUUCCAUUUCCUUUUGUUUUUUUUUUUCAUUUUCAUUUUUUUGUUGAAUACUUUUCACCAGUUUUGUUGGAGAGUGGGACAUGUUGCCAUGUUGGGAAUGGAUCUCUGAUGCUGUAGUUUAUGCUGUUAGCGUAGCCGAGUGUUAGAUAUGCGAUUCUCAGAAAGUUAAUAUGACUGGAGAAAAGCCUUCCAAAAAUUCUGAGGACCCAUAACACCAACUGUUGUCAUAACAGCUGCUAAGAAUAAUCAGAGAACAAAAUGAAUGAAUGAGAGAGAAGAAUUCUGGGAGCAAAUGUGUGAUUUCCAUGCAUUCCAGGACCACCACCAUUAUACAAGACCCUAAGAAUCCAGGACAUACGAAGACAUUUACUUUUGACCUGGCAUAUUGGUCUCACAGUGGAUUUCAAAAGGAUAAAGAUGGUGUGUUUAUUUCAGCUGAUCCUGGCAGUAAAUUUGCAGGCCAGUAAUCUGUGACCAGUGAACUUUGAUGAUACUAUUACAAGAAGAUUAUGACUCCUUGAAGACUCAGAUGAUGGGUAGCAUUUUUGAGCAGUGAGAUAUUUUUAAACUGAUAUAUCCAUUGGUUUUUUCUAGAUGUCAUGCUAUUACACAAUAAAUUACAGUAUAGUGUAAACAUAACUUUUAUGUGCUGGAAAACCAAAAAAAUUGUGACUCAUGUUACUGCAUUACUUUCUUUAUUGUGAUGGUUUGGAACUGAACCCACAGUAUCUCUGAGGUAUGCCUGGAGUUAACAGUCCAACAUUGUAUAUUUGAAGGUUGCUAAGAGAGUAGAUCUUAAAUGUUCUCAUUGAAGAAAAAAAUGUUUAACUCUGUGAAGUAAUGGGUGUGAACUUCUGUUAAUCAUUUCUCAAUAAAUACAUAUAUCAAAUCAUUAUGCUAUACAUUUGAAACUAUUUAAUGUUAUGUGUCAAUUCUAUCUCAGUUUUUAAAAGACAGUUUUAAAAGAAUGCAAGAAUUGUGAUAGUUGACCUUGAACUUCAAGCGGUCUACUCGACCAUGGAACAUGUCCAAGGGAAACCACAAACCACUUUUAAAACAUUCGGUCAGUCACAGCACCUUCUCCAUACACUUCAUAAAUUUGUUUACUUUUCUUGAAAUAAUGUGCACAAUAUGCCAAAAUGUUGCUUUUAUUUUUCCAUCUUCAAUAUUAAAAUGGUUAUACAAAAAUUCACCAAUAUCUGAUAAGUUUUUCUAAAUGUACACUGAGAUGACAGCUGUCAUGAUGCAACGUAACAAAAUUGUUUCAAAUGAAGUUAAAGAUUAUUAAGGGCUACCACAACCAUCUUUCAGAAAAAAACAAAUGAACACUUUGGUCAACCCAAAAGAAAACACUUUG